CACGAACGCUGGCGGCAGGCUUAACACAUGCAAGUCGAGCGCCCCGCAAGGGGAGCGGCAGACGGGUGAGUAACGCGUUGGAAUCUACCCAUCUCUACGGAAUAACGCAUGGAAACGUGUGCUAAUACCGUAUACGUCCUUCGGGAGAAAGAUUCAUCGGGGAUGGAUGAGCCCGCGUUGGAUUAGCUAGUUGGGGGGGUAAAGGCCUACCAAGGCGACGAUCCAUAGCGGGUCUGAGAGGAUGGUCAGCCACACUGGGACUGAGACACGGCCCAGACUCCUACGGGAGGCAGCAGUGGGGAAUAUUGGACAAUGGGCGCAAGCCUGAACCAGCCAUGCCGCGUGAGUGAUGAAAGCCCUAGGGUUGUAAAGCUCUUUCACCGGUGAAGAUAAUGACGGUAACCGGAGAAGAAGCCCCGGCUAACUUCGUGCCAGCAGCCGCCGUAACAC
rnacentral:rRNA from 1 species